UGGCAUGCCAUCCAAUUUCGAACUUCUGCUUGGGGACAAAGACUUCAUCUCGCUCAAGGGAACCUGUGUUGGAAUGGUGGCGGCGAUGGCUAUACUUCCAUGAGAAGUACGGGACAAGGAGGCAAGAGUGGAGGAUCAAACCAACAGUGUCAUCCAGCCAUUGAUAAUCACUGAAAGCAUGGUGACCGCACUCAUGUGCUAUGACCCAAACACCGGUGAGAACACAGCCCUGAACGUACCAGAAAAUCGGCCAUGCCAAGAAGGAUAGAGGUUGAGACAGAUUCUGAAUGUAGGUGGAAGCAAUGUAGUAAAGGAUAGAGGCAAUGGUGAGGUCAUAAAAGACAUAGGAGAAGGAGCGGAUAACAGAGCGCUGAAAACAAUGAGGUGGGAUGGCUUUCUUGACCUCACCGAGGCUGAACGGAGGCUUAGAGUACGGAACUCUCUUGUGGGUGUCAGCAUCCGCAUUUUUGCGCACAGGGGGCGCAACCAUUCUUCCACCGGCACCCAUUGUUCCCAA
rnacentral:lncRNA from 1 species